UACGGGGGGGGCAAGCGUUGUUCGGAAUUACUGGGCGUAAAGGGCGCGUAGGCGGGAUGGCAAGUCGGUCGUGAAAUCCCUCGGCUCAACCGAGGAACGUCGAUCGAUACUGCUGUUCUUGAGGAUUGCAGAGGAGACUGGAAUUCCCGGUGUAGCGGUGAAAUGUGUAGAUAUCUGGAGGAACACCGGUGGCGAAGGCGGCAUCCUGGACCGGUAUUGACGCUGAGGAGCGAAAGCCAGGGGAGCAAACGGG
rnacentral:rRNA from 1 species